UAUGCUGUAAAUUACUGAUAUUUCUUUCUGUUUAAUCUCGUUAAUGAGCGGUCCGUAAAGGUAGACAGUGUUUGGAAUUUUGGAUUCUUUGAAGGGUUCUUCCUCAUCUCUCUGGUCAGCAUCUCUUUAAUUCUACAAUUGGCAAAGCAGAUUAUCACAUCUCUAGGACUAUUUGAUUGAAUUAGAUUGGUUGGCUUCGGUAGUCUAUGCAUUCUUUCUAUAGAUAUUGGACCAUAUCAUUUUGGGUCCAAGUAAACAGCUAAUAGUUCCAUCAAAUAUUCUUCGACGUUCACAAUUUCUUCUGGUAUUCCUCUAAUUUUCAGGUUUUGUCUACGAGAUCUAUAUUCAAGAUCGGUCAGAUUCGUAUCCAUUUUAGUAAUAUCCACUUUUAGCAAAUCAUUUUGGUUUUGAAGAUCAUUCAACUUUUGAUACAAUACUGCAAUUUCCUGGGAUUGCUUUAAUAAGGAAUUUCUUAGUUGAGCCAUUUCUUCUUUAUAAUCUGAUAAUUUUUUUCAAGAUCUGAUUUAAUUUUAUCAUAUAAUGAUUCUAAUGCAGUAACAAGGCUUGCUUGAGUGACAAACCCAAAUGCUCAGGUGUAUGUUCGAAUGAGCUUGUUUCCAUACAUUUUUCGGGAAGAUGAUUUUUCUGAUAGUGUGGACAUAGACUUUAAGGGAAGUAAAAGUUGCUAAAAGUUUGUGAUUUAUUUUGUUUAGUUGUGCUCUUUAUUUUCUCAGCUUUUUCGCUUUUUUCAGUCUUGUCUUUUGGGGCCAUCUUAGACACAGGAUUUUAUAUUCAGUAGUGGAGGAAACUUGUUUUUUUUUUUUUUUUUUCUUCUAUCCUACUUUUUUAAAAUUUAUUUAGAUAUUUAUUUUUUUCUUUAUCCUUUUUCAAGCAAUCUCUCCCC